CUUGACCUAGCGGCGGACGGGUGAGUAAUGCUUAGGAAUCUGCCUAUUAGUGGGGGACAACAUCUCGAAAGGGAUGCUAAUACCGCAUACGUCCUACGGGAGAAAGCAGGGGACCUUCGGGCCUUGCGCUAAUAGAUGAGCCUAAGUCGGAUUAGCUAGUUGGUGGGGUAAAGGCCUACCAAGGCGACGAUCUGUAGCGGGUCUGAGAGGAUGAUCCGCCACACUGGGACUGAGACACGGCCCAGACUCCUACGGGAGGCAGCAGUGGGGAAUAUUGGACAAUGGGGGGAACCCUGAUCCAGCCAUGCCGCGUGUGUGAAGAAGGCCUUUUGGUUGUAAAGCACUUUAAGCGAGGAGGAGGCUACCGAGAUUAAUACUCUUGGAUAGUGGACGUUACUCGCAGAAUAAGCACCGGCUAACUCUGUGCCAGCAGCCGCGGUAAUACAGAGGGUGCAAGCGUUAAUCGGAUUUACUGGGCGUAAAGCGCGCGUAGGUGGCCAAUUAAGUCAAAUGUGAAAUCCCCGAGCUUAACUUGGGAAUUGCAUUCGAUACUGGUUGGCUAGAGUAUGGGAGAGGAUGGUAGAAUUCCAGGUGUAGCGGUGAAAUGCG
rnacentral:rRNA from 1 species